GAUGAACGCUGGCGGCGUGCCUAAUACAUGCAAGUCGAGCGAACAGAUAAGGAGCUUGCUCCUUUGACGUUAGCGGCGGACGGGUGAGUAACACGCGGAUAACCUACCUAUAAGACUGGGAUAACUUCGGGAAACCGGAGCUAAUACCGGAUAACAUAUUGAACCGCAUGGUUCAAUAGUGAAAGGCGGCUUUGCUGUCACUUAUAGAUGGAUCCGCGCCGUAUUAGCUAGUUGGUAAGGUAACGGCUUACCAAGGCAACGAUACGUAGCCGACCUGAGAGGGUGAUCGGCCACACUGGAACUGAGACACGGUCCAGACUCCUACGGGAGGCAGCAGUAGGGAAUCUUCCGCAAUGGGCGAAAGCCUGACGGAGCAACGCCGCGUGAGUGAUGAAGGUCUUCGGAUCGUAAAACUCUGUUAUCAGGGAAGAACAAAUGUGUAAGUAACUGUGCACAUCUUGACGGUACCUGAUCAGAAAGCCACGGCUAACUACGUGCCAGCAGCCGCGGUAAUACGUAGGUGGCAAGCGUUAUCCGGAAUUAUUGGGCGUAAAGCGCGCGUAGGCGGUUUUUUAAGUCUGAUGUGAAAGCCCACGGCUCAACCGUGGAGGGUCAUUGGAAACUGGAAAACUUGAGUGCAGAAGAGGAAAGUGGAAUUCCAUGUGUAGCGGUGAAAUGCGCAGAGAUAUGGAGGAACACCAGUGGCGAAGGCGACUUUCUGGUCUGUAACUGACGCUGAUGUGCGAAAGCGUGGGGAUCAAACAGGAUUAGAUACCCUGGUAGUCCACGCCGUAAACGAUGAGUGCUAAGUGUUAGGGGGUUUCCGCCCCUUAGUGCUGCAGCUAACGCAUUAAGCACUCCGCCUGGGGAGUACGACCGCAAGGUUGAAACUCAAAGGAAUUGACGGGGACCCGCACAAGCGGUGGAGCAUGUGGUUUAAUUCGAAGCAACGCGAAGAACCUUACCAAAUCUUGACAUCCUUUGACCGCUCUAGAGAUAGAGUCUUCCCUUCGGGGGACAAAGUGACAGGUGGUGCAUGGUUGUCGUCAGCUCGUGUCGUGAGAUGUUGGGUUAAGUCCCGCAACGAGCGCAACCCUUAAGCUUAGUUGCCAUCAUUAAGUUGGGCACUCUAAGUUGACUGCCGGUGACAAACCGGAGGAAGGUGGGGAUGACGUCAAAUCAUCAUGCCCCUUAUGAUUUGGGCUACACACGUGCUACAAUGGACAAUACAAAGGGCAGCUAAACCGCGAGGUCAAGCAAAUCCCAUAAAGUUGUUCUUAGUUCGGAUUGUAGUCUGCAACUCGACUACAUGAAGCUGGAAUCGCUAGUAAUCGUAGAUCAGCAUGCUACGGUGAAUACGUUUCCCGGGUCU
rnacentral:rRNA from 1 species